rnacentral:rRNA from 1 species
CAAUAGCGUAUAUUGAAGUUGUUGCGGUUAAAAAGCUCGUCGUUGGAUUUCUGUUGAGGUCGAACAGUGUCGCCCUAUGGGUGCGCAACUGGCUCGGCUUCGGCAUCUUCUUGGAGAGCGCAUCUGCACUUAACUGUGUGGAUCGUACUUCAAGUCAGUUACUUUGAGGAAUUGUGAGUGUUUCAAGCAGGCUUACGCCGUUGAAUCCGUUAGCAUGGAAUAAUAGGAUAGGACCUCGGUUCUAUUUUGUUGGUUUUGAGAGCUGGGGCAGCGAUUGAUAGGGACGGAUGGGGGCGUCCGAACUUUACUGUCAGAGGUGAAAUUCUUAGAUCGGUCAAAGGCGAACUACUGCGAACGCAUUCGCCAAGAAUGUUUUCUUUAA